rnacentral:ncRNA from 1 species
UGAAUAGGCAAAAUACCCGAAAGAGUAUGACGCAAAGCUAUAGGACCUGAAAUAUAGUAUGGUAGCCAGUUGCAA